GAUGAACGCUGGCGGCGUGCCUAAUACAUGCAAGUCGAGCGAACAGACGAGGAGCUUGCUCCUCUGACGUUAGCGGCGGACGGGUGAGUAACACGUGGAUAACCUACCUAUAAGACUGGGAUAACUUCGGGAAACCGGAGCUAAUACCGGAUAAUAUAUUGAACCGCAUGGUUCAAUAGUGAAAGACGGUUUUGCUGUCACUUAUAGAUGGAUCCGCGCCGCAUUAGCUAGUUGGUAAGGUAACGGCUUACCAAGGCAACGAUGCGUAGCCGACCUGAGAGGGUGAGCGGCCACACUGGAACUGAGACACGGUCUAGACUCCUACGGGAGGCAGCAGUAGGGAAUCUUCCGCAAUGGGCGAAAGCCUGACGGAGCAACGCCGCGUGAGUGAUGAAGGUCUUCGGAUCGUAAAACUCUGUUAUUAGGGAAGAACAAAUGUGUAAGUAACUAUGCACGUCUUGACGGUACCUAAUCAGAAAGCCACGGCUAACUACGUG
rnacentral:rRNA from 1 species